AUGGUGCAGCAGCAGCCUCCUGUGACUGUGAGGCCUGAUUACAAGUUGUUCCUGGCUGUUGCUGGCACUACUGUUCACGGUGCAGCAGCCCUGACAGCUAAUGUAUCAUUAAUGACACAUUUUUUUUAUAGUUUUCUCUCAGUUUUUCAGCUCCACAUUUUUAGACUGGUCCAUCAGCCCAAAAGUGUGUUGGCCCACUGGGAAAAUGCCCAGUAUGCCAGAUUACCAGUCCAGCCCUGGUCUUCAGCAUGUGCAGCAAAAUGUUGGAUAAUCCUGACUACGCUCUGGACCACUUACUGCAAAGGAAGUAGACUACUUUGAGGUAGUCCAAUUCCACACAAGGUUGGAUAUUUGAAAUCUUUUUAACCAUGUGCAAUAAUUUUUUAUAAUACAUCUAUCCAGGAGAGAAAUAUCUGCUCUUAAAUUUUGACAUUUGAUAUUUAAAAUUGUACUUUAAUUUUUUUACCUGUUAUAUAUUUGAUUGAUGUAACAAAACAGAACGCAACAAAAACACUAACCUGAAUUUUUUCAUUUAUUUAUGGAAAUGAUAUAAACUGGAAAAAGGGGAUGCAAACCCCCAGAAAUGAAUCAGGCUCAGCUUUUCUUUUUUUUCUUUUUUUUUUUUUAAACAAAAAAAAAAAAAUUAUGUACCUUGUUUUCAUUUAUUUUGAACUUAAACAACGGGCUCCAAAUGUCAUAUCAGCUCAUUAGAAACACACACUGCAAAAUACAAGGAGCUG
ensembl:lncRNA